rnacentral:rRNA from 1 species
CCUACGGGUGGCAGCAGUGAGGAAUAUUGGUCAAUGGGCGAGAGCCUGAACCAGCCAAGUCGCGUGAGGGAAGAAGGCCCUACGGGUUGUAAACCUCUUUUGUCGGGGAGCAAAGUGAGGGACGUGUGACCUAUUGAGAGUACCUGAAGAAAAAGCAUCGGCUAACUCCGUGCCAGCAGCCGCGGUAAUACGGAGGAUGCGAGCGUUAUCCGGUUUUAUUGGGUUUAAAGGGUGCGCAGGCGGACGUUCAAGUCAGCGGUAAAAUUCCGGGGCUCAACCCCGUACUGCCGUUGAAACUGGAAGCCUUGAGUGCGGGAGAGGUAUGCGGAAUGCGUGGUGUAGCGGUGAAAUGCUUAGAUAUCACGCAGAACUCCGAUUGCGAAGGCAGCGUACCGGCGCGCCACUGACGCUGAUGCACGAAAGCGUGGGUAUCGAACAGGAUUAGAUACCCUUGUAGUC